rnacentral:rRNA from 1 species
GGCGUGCUUAACACAUGCAAGUCGAACGAUGAUGCCCAGCUUGCUGGGUGGAUUAGUGGCGAACGGGUGAGUAACACGUGAGUAACCUGCCCCUGACUCUGGGAUAAGCGUUGGAAACGACGUCUAAUACUGGAUAUGAUCACUGGCCGCAUGGUCUGGUGGUGGAAAGAUUUUUUGGUUGGGGAUGGACUCGCGGCCUAUCAGCUUGUUGGUGAGGUAAUGGCUCACCAAGGCGACGACGGGUAGCCGGCCUGAGAGGGUGACCGGCCACACUGGGACUGAGACACGGCCCAGACUCCUACGGGAGGCAGCAGUGGGGAAUAUUGCACAAUGGGCGAAAGCCUGAUGCAGCAACGCCGCGUGAGGGAUGACGGCCUUCGGGUUGUAAACCUCUUUUAGUAGGGAAGAAGCGAAAGUGACGGUACCUGCAGAAAAAGCACCGGCUAACUACGUGCCAGCAGCCGCGGUAAUACGUAGGGUGCAAGCGUUGUCCGGAAUUAUUGGGCGUAAAGAGCUCGUAGGCGGUUUGUCGCGUCUGCUGUGAAAUCCCGAGGCUCAACCUCGGGCUUGCAGUGGGUACGGGCAGACUAGAGUGCGGUAGGGGAGAUUGGAAUUCCUGGUGUAGCGGUGGAAUGCGCAGAUAUCAGGAGGAACACCGAUGGCGAAGGCAGAUCUCUGGGCCGUAACUGACGCUGAGGAGCGAAAGCAUGGGGAGCGAACAGGAUUAGAUACCCUGGUAGUCCAUGCCGUAAACGUUGGGCGCUAGAUGUAGGGACCUUUCCACGGUUUCUGUGUCGUAGCUAACGCAUUAAGCGCCCCGCCUGGGGAGUACGGCCGCAAGGCUAAAACUCAAAGGAAUUGACGGGGGCCCGCACAAGCGGCGGAGCAUGCGGAUUAAUUCGAUGCAACGCGAAGAACCUUACCAAGGCUUGACAUACACCGGAAACGGCCAGAGAUGGUCGCCCCCUUGUGGUCGGUGUACAGGUGGUGCAUGGUUGUCGUCAGCUCGUGUCGUGAGAUGUUGGGUUAAGUCCCGCAACGAGCGCAACCCUCGUUCUAUGUUGCCAGCGGGUUAUGCCGGGGACUCAUAGGAGACUGCCGGGGUCAACUCGGAGGAAGGUGGGGAUGACGUCAAAUCAUCAUGCCCCUUAUGUCUUGGGCUUCACGCAUGCUACAAUGGCCGGUACAAAGGGCUGCGAUACCGUAAGGUGGAGCGAAUCCCAAAAAGCCGGUCUCAGUUCGGAUUGAGGUCUGCAACUCGACCUCAUGAAGUCGGAGUCGCUAGUAAUCGCAGAUCAGCAACGCUGCGGUGAAUACGUUCCCGGGCCUUGUACACACCGCCCGUCAAGUCAUGAAAGUCGGUAACACCCGAAGCCGGUGGCCUAACCCUUGUGGAAGGAGCCGUCGAAGGUGGGAUCGGUGAUUAGGACU